UUUCUACUCCCUCCGUCCAAAAAUACUUGUCAUUAAAAUGGAUAAAAGAGAUGUAUCUAAAACUAAAAUAUGUCUAGAUACAUUUCCUUUUAUCCAUUUCGAUGAAAAGUAUUUCCGGACGGAGGGAGUAUUUG
rnacentral:pre_miRNA from 1 species